rnacentral:rRNA from 1 species
GUGAGGAAUAUUGGUCAAUGGGCGAGAGCCUGAACCAGCCAAGUCGCGUGAAGGAAGAAGGAUCUAUGGUUCGUAAACUUCUUUUGCAGGGGAAUAAAGUGCAGGACGUGUCCUGUUUUGUAUGUACCCUGAGAAUAAGGAUCGGCUAACUCCGUGCCAGCAGCCGCGGUAAUACGGAGGAUCCGAGCGUUAUCCGGAUUUAUUGGGUUUAAAGGGUGCGUAGGUGGAUUGAUAAGUCAGCGGUGAAAGUUUGCAGCUUAACUGUAAAAAUGCCGUUGAAACUGUCGGACUUGAGUGUAAAUGAGGUAGGCGGAAUGCGUGGUGUAGCGGUGAAAUGCAUAGAUAUCACGCAGAACUCCGAUUGCGAAGGCAGCUUACUAAGCUACAACUGACACUGAAGCACGAAAGCGUGGGGAUCAAACAGGAUUAGAAACCCUUGUAGUCC